UACGUAGGGCGCAAGCGUUGUCCGGAAUUAUUGGGCGUAAAGAGCUCGUAGGCGGCUUGUCACGUCGGGUGUGAAAGCCCGGGGCUUAACCCUGGGUCUGCAUUCGAUACGGGCUAGCUAGAGUGUGGUAGGGGAGAGCGGAAUUCCUGGUGUAGCGGUGAAAUGCGCAGAUAUCAGGAGGAACACCGGUGGCGAAGGCGGAUCUCUGGGCCAUUACUGACGCUGAGGAGCGAAAGCGUGGGGAGCGAACAGG
rnacentral:rRNA from 1 species